AUCGCUUACCAGCCUUUUGGCUAAGAUCAAGUGUAUUAUCUGUUCUUGUCAGUUUAAUAACCGAUCCGUCCUCUAUCCGAGGACAAUAUAUUAAACGGAUUUUUGGAGAAGGGAGAUGGAAUAGGAGCUUGCUCCGUCCACUCCACGCAUUGACCCGGUAUUGCAGUACCUCCGGGAACGGUGCACACACA
rnacentral:snRNA from 1 species